GACGAACCGUGCGAACGUUGUUCGGAAUCACUGGGCUUAAAGGGCGCGUAGGCGGCUAAUCAAGUCCGGGGUGAAAUCCUGCAGCUUAACUGUAGAAGUGCCUUGGAUACUGGUUGGCUCGAGGGAGGUAGGGGUCUGUGGAACUGCUGGUGGAGCGGUGAAAUGCGUUGAUAUCAGCAGGAACGCCGGUGGCGAAAGCGACGGACUGGAUCUCUUCUGACGCUGAGGCGCGAAAGCUAGGGGAGCAAACGGGAUUAGAAACCCCAGUAGUCC
rnacentral:rRNA from 1 species